GAUGAACGCUGGCGGCGUGCCUAAUACAUGCAAGUCGAGCGAACAGACGAGGAGCUUGCUCCUCUGACGUUAGCGGCGGACGGGUGAGUAACACGUGGAUAACCUACCUAUAAGACUGGGAUAACUUCGGGAAACCGGAGCUAAUACCGGAUAAUAUAUUGAACCGCAUGGUUCAAUAGUGAAAGACGGUUUUGCUGUCACUUAUAGAUGGAUCCGCGCCGCAUUAGCUAGUUGGUAAGGUAACGGCUUACCAAGGCAACGAUGCGUAGCCGACCUGAGAGGGUGAUCGGCCACACUGGAACUGAGACACGGUCCAGACUCCUACGGGAGGCAGCAGGAGGGAAUCUUCCGCAAGGGGCGAAAGCCUGACGGAGCAACGCCGCGUGAGUGAUGAAGGUCUUCGGAUCGUAAAACUCUGUUAUUAGGGAAGAACAAAUGUGUAAGUAACUAUGCACGUCUUGACGGUACCUAAGCAGAAAGCCACGGCUAACUACGU
rnacentral:rRNA from 1 species